GGGGAAUAUUGCACAAUGGGGGAAACCCUGAUGCAGCGACGCCGCGUGGAGGAAGAAGGUCUUCGGAUUGUAAACUCCUGUUGUUGAGGAAGAUAAUGACGGUACUCAACAAGGAAGUGACGGCUAACUACGUGCCAGCAGCCGCGGUAAAACGUAGGUCACAAGCGUUGUCCGGAAUUACUGGGUGUAAAGGGAGCGCAGGCGGGAGAACAAGUUGGAAGUGAAAUCCAUGGGCUCAACCCAUGAACUGCUUUCAAAACUGUUUUUCUUGAGUAGUGCAGAGGUAGGCGGAAUUCCCGGUGUAGCGGUGGAAUGCGUAGAUAUCGGGAGGAACACCAGUGGCGAAGGCGGCCUACUGGGCACCAACUGACGCUGAGGCUCGAAAGUGUGGGUAGCAAACAGGAUUAGAUACCCUGGUAGUCCACACCGUAAACGAUGAUUACUAGGUGUUGGAGGAUUGACCCCUUCAGUGCCGCAGUUAACACAAUAAGUAAUCCACCUGGGGAGUACGACCGCAAGGUUGAAACUCAAAGGAAUUGACGGGGGCCCGCACAAGCAGUGGAGUAUGUGGUUUAAUUCGACGCAACGCGAAGAACCUUACCAAGUCUUGACAUCCCUUGACGAUGCUGGAAACAGCAUUUCUCUUCGGAGCAAGGAGACAGGUGGUGCAUGGUUGUCGUCAGCUCGUGUCGUGAGAUGUUGGGUUAAGUCCCGCAACGAGCGCAACCCUUAUGGUCAGUUGCUACGCAAGAGGACUCUGGCCAGACUGCCGUUGACAAAACGGAGGAAGGUGGGGACGACGUCAAAUCAUCAUGCCCUUUAUGACUUGGGCUACACACGUACUACAAUGGCGUUAAACAAAGAGAAGCAAGACCGCGAGGUGGAGCAAAACUCAGAAACAACGUCCCAGUUCGGACUGCAGGCUGCAACUCGCCUGCACGAAGUCGGAAUUGCUAGUAAUCGUGGAUCAGCAUGCCACGGUGAAUACGUUCCCG
rnacentral:rRNA from 1 species